rnacentral:rRNA from 1 species
GCGAAGCUACGCUAAUACCGCAUACGAUCUACGGAUGAAAGCGGGGGAUCGCAAGACCUCGCGCGAUUGGAGCGGCCGAUAUCAGGAUUAGGUAGUUGGUGAGGUAAAGGCUCACCAAGCCGACGAUCUGUAGCUGGUUUGAGAGAACGACCAGCCACACUGGGACUGAGACACGGCCCAGACUCCUACGGGAGGCAGCAGUGGGGAAUUUUGGACAAUGGGCGAAAGCCUGAUCCAGCAAUGCCGCGUGCAGGAAGAAGGCCUUCGGGUUGUAAACUGCUUUUGUACGGAACGAAAAGGUCUGCCCUAAUACGGCGGGCCCAUGACGGUACCGUAAGAAUAAGCACCGGCUAACUACGUG